rnacentral:tRNA from 1 species
GGGCGAGUAGCUCAGUUGGGAGAGCACCGGCUUUGCAAGCCGGGGGUCGCGGGUUCGAAACCCGUCUCGUCCACCA